AUGAAACAUGGUGAGGGAUGGAGUGAUGAGUUAAUGAUCCCUCCCCGCCUCCGACUGCGGGAGGAGCCCCGGGAUGAAGGGCACGCCGUACUUGGGGAUGAACUGCUCGCCCUGGAUGAAGGCUUCGACGGUGUACUCCUUCUGCGCGUCGGCGUAGGUGACAGUCUUGAUGCCGCCCCACUUGGCGCGCUGGCUCAUGUCGGCGCCGGGCCCGGUGUUCUCCACCUCGGCGUAGAAGAGGGUCUCGAGGGCGAAGUCGCCGUUCCACUCGAGCCAGCCCUUGGGGUCGAUGAAGGCGCCGAUCUCGUUCUGGAUGUAGAUGGUCCUGGAGUACUCCUUCCAUGGGCGCGCCAGGAUGAGGCAGUUCUGGAUGACCACCUGGGAGUUGCCGAAGAUGAAGUCGAUGGUGCCGGUGAUGGUGCAGUCGCGGAAGAACUGCCGUUGCGCGUGGGUGUAGAGCGUGUCUUGGUACCCGUCGAAGUAGCACUGGUAGAAGACGGCCUGGUCGCUCUGCACCCGCAGCGCCACGGCCUGGUGGUUCUCGGCCCCCGCCGUGUUCUCCACCCUCACGCCCUUCAUGAAGAAGCCGUUCCCGAUCGCCUCUGCAUGCACGCGCGCAUUUCCUCCGUUAUCAGUACAGUUUGUUUUGCUUUGGUUGAUCGUGCGUCUGUGAUGACUUGGUCAAUCUCAAGAUGA
rnacentral:rRNA from 1 species